rnacentral:rRNA from 1 species
AAGGAUCAUUAUCAUACAAA